GCUUACGGCCACACACCACCCUGAGCGCGCCCGAUCUCGUCUGAUCUCGGAAGCUAAGCAGGGUCGGGCCUGGUUAGUACUUGGAUGGGAGACCGCCUGGGAAUACCAGGUGCCGUAAGCU
rnacentral:rRNA from 1 species